rnacentral:misc_RNA from 1 species
UGCCACCCUGCCACACUUCUGCACU